rnacentral:antisense_RNA from 1 species
CUUUUUGAUACAGAGUUUCACUCCUGUUGCCCAGGCUGGAGUGCAAUGGCGCGAUCUUGGCUCAGCGCAACUUCCGCCUCCCAGGUUCAAGCGAUUCUCCUGCCUCACCCUCCCGAGUAGCUGGGAUUACAGGUGCACAAUAUCCAGCUGUGACAGGACAGUGGCUUCUUACAGCAGCUGAUUUCUGCCCGACUUCUGAUGUUUCUCCAGGAAAAAAGAGGAAACAGGGAUUUUUUUUUUCUGGGAAAUUGCCUCAUUGACAAAUGUCAGCAAUCAAUACUUUUUUCCAAAAUAUCAUGGAGGCCAAGAGUAUCUAUUUGUGAUCUGUAUCUGGUCAGUGGUUUGCAGCACCUUCUAGAAAUAAGGUGCCACACCCGGCGAAACCCCCUUCCCUCUAAUAAUAACUAUGGUUAUUGAACUCCUAUGACAUGCCACGCACAGACACCCAGUCUCCACAUUCCCAAAGAAGCAUGAUCUUGUAUAAAGAGGAUACCUGGACCGGGUGCUCAUGCCUGUAAUCUCAGCACUUUGGGAGGCCGAGGCUGGUGGAUCACCUGAGGUCAGGAGUUCAAGACCAGCCUGGCCAACAUGGUGAAACCCCCGUCUCUACUAAAAAUACAAAAAUUAGCCAGGCAUGAUGGCGGGCACCUGUAGUCCCAGCUACUCAGGAGGCUGAGGCAGGAGAAUCGCUUGAACCCGGGAGGCAGAGGUUGCAAUGAGCCAAAAUCAAGCCACUGCAUUCUAGUGUGGGCUACAGAGGGAGACUUCAUCUCAACUGAAAAAAAAAAAAAAAAAAAAAAAAAGACACCUGGAGAGGGAGGCCCAUAGCUAGUACCAGUGAGACACAGUACUGGGACCUUCUGGGAUACACUCCUCCUUCAAAACAGGACUCUUUUCUGUCUCUGGCUCCCAGAUGUGAGGGCUGAGGGGUUCCUGGCACCUCCCUCCCGUCCCCCCGCAACUUCCUCUCCCAAGAAGCCUUCCCUGAUUACUGCUAGUCUGGCCCACAUACACAGUCAAAUUGACCCAGCAAGAGCUCUGAUCCCAACUCCAAAUGUAGAUUUAUUGAAGAAACGCAGAGAGGUAGGCUGUUUGACCAUGGGAGAGCCACUUCACCCUUCUGAAUCAGUUUUUUCAACCAUAAAAUGAAAAUAAGGUAGAAUGAAGAUCUCACAGUGCUGUCUGUGGCAACUGAAACCAAAGGUGAUAACGACUGGAGCUCAGGACAGGCUGUUUCUCCAAGAGGAGUGUGAAGAAGUCCCGGGAAUCAACAUUUUGAGAGCAUCCCAGGGGCCUCUAAGAAUAUAUUACGGGCAAACACUUGUAGAGCACUUCAUUUCAUCCUCAAUCACCGUUACGAGGCAGACACAAUCAUCUCCGAGUGAAACUGAGGCUCACAGGGGCGGGCUCCGUUGCCGAAACUCACAGGGAGAGGCAGAGAAGCACCACGGUUCUAUAUCCAGGUUAUUUAACAGAAUUUAACUCAGCCAUCCAAGCUCUGAAAAACCCCAAGUGGGGAGGGGCUCAAAUAUCCCCUCACGCCCCGUCCCCUACAAUACAGGGAAACUGAGGCAUAAACCGGGCAACGCCCAGCUCCAGGUUACACGACACACCCAGAACACAGGAGGCCCCAAUUCCUAUGCCCCUGAUCCGGAUCCAGAUCCAGCCCGUAGCGCCGCCUGCGUAUCCAUUGAGCAGACGGGGAAACUGAGGCCUGUGCGCAGCAGGAAUGACCAGAUGUGGCCAGCGGCGCACCCCACCCCACCGCAGCCCGGGGGCCGCGCCCGACCCGGACCGGUUCCCCGCGGCCCUGGAGUCCCCAGCCCCACCCCAAACUCGGCCCCGGCGUCGGUAGCGGCGGCACCUGCACAUCUGGCGGCCUUGCUCGCGCUUCCGGGAUGGCGCCCGCGCCGGCGAAACGUCACCACGCACCGAUCGUGCGAGCGCGCGUGGCGGGGACGUACCCUGGAGCCGCUUGCGUGCGUUAAGUCACGACAGGAAAGG